GACGUAGGGCGCGAGCGUUGUCCGGAUUUAUUGGGCGUAAAGAGCUCGUAGGCGGCUUGUCGCGUCGGCUGUGAAAUCCCGUGGCUCAACUGCGGGCUGGCAGCCGAUACGGGCAGGCUAGAGUUCGGUAGGGGAGACUGGAAUUCCUGGUGUAGCGGUGAAAUGCGCAGAUAUCAGGAAGAACACCUAUGGCGAAGGCAGCACUCUGGGGCGGUACUGACGCUGAGACGCGAAAGCGUGGGGAGCGAACAGG
rnacentral:rRNA from 1 species